rnacentral:rRNA from 1 species
AACGAACGCUGGCGGCAUGCCUAACACAUGCAAGUCGAACGAGACCUUCGGGUCUAGUGGCGCACGGGUGCGUAACGCGUGGGAACCUGCCCUUAGGUUCGGAAUAACUCCCCGAAAGGGGUGCUAAUACCGGAUAAUGUCUUCGGACCAAAGAUUUAUCGCCUUUGGAUGGGCCCGCGUUGGUUUAGCUAGUUGGUAGGGUAAAAGCCUACCACGGCGACGAUCCAUAGCUGGUCUGAGAGGAUGAUCAGCCACACUGGGACUGAGACACGGCCCAGACUCCUACGGGAGGCAGCAGUGGGGAAUAUUGGACAAUGGGCGAAAGCCUGAUCCAGCAAUGCCGCGUGAGUGAUGAAGGCCUUAGGGUUGUAAAGCUCUUUUACCCGGGAUGAUAAUGACAGUACCGGGAGAAUAAGCUCCGGCUAACUCCGUG